rnacentral:rRNA from 1 species
UACGGGGGGGGCAAGCGUUGUUCGGAAUUACUGGGCGUAAAGGGCUUGUAGGCGGUCCGUUAAGUCCGAUGUGAAAUCUCCCGGCUCAACUGGGAGAGGUCAUUGGAUACUGGCGGACUAGAGGGGGGUAGAGGAAAGCAGAAUUCCUGGUGUAGCGGUGAAAUGCGUAGAUAUCAGGAGGAAUACCAGUGGCGAAGGCGGCUUUCUGGGCCUACCCUGACGCUGAGGAGCGAAAGCGUGGGGAGCAAACCGG